rnacentral:rRNA from 1 species
AACGCGUUGGCCCAACUGAUUGAACGUGCUUGCACGGACUUGACGUUGGUUUACCAACGAGUGGCGGACGGGUGAGUAACACGUAGGUAACCUGCCCCAAAGCGGGGGAUAACAUUUGGAAACAGAUGCUAAUACCGCAUAACAAUUUGAAUCGCAUGAUUCAAAUUUAAAAGAUGGCUUCGGCUAUCACUUUGGGAUGGACCUGCGGCGCAUUAGCUUGUUGGUAGGGUAACGGCCUACCAAGGCUGUGAUGCGUAGCCGAGUUGAGAGACUGAUCGGCCACAAUGGAACUGAGACACGGUCCAUACUCCUACGGGAGGCAGCAGUAGGGAAUCUUCCACAAUGGGCGCAAGCCUGAUGGAGCAACACCGCGUGAGUGAAGAAGGGUUUCGGCUCGUAAAGCCCUGUUGUUAGAGAAGAACAUGCGUGAGAGCAACUGUUCACGCAGUGACGGUAUCUAACCAGAAAGUCACGGCUAACUACGUGCCAGCAGCCGCGGUAAUACGUAGGUGGCAAGCGUUAUCCGGAUUUAUUGGGCGUAAAGCGAGCGCAGGCGGUUUGAUAAGUCUGAUGUGAAAGCCUUUGGCUUAACCAAAGAAGUGCAUCGGAAACUGUCAGACUUGAGUGCAGAAGAGGACAGUGGAACUCCAUGUGUAGCGGUGGAAUGCGUAGAUAUAUGGAAGAACACCAGUGGCGAAGGCGGCUGUCUGGUCUGCAACUGACGCUGAGGCUCGA